AUUCGCUCAGACGAACGCUGGCGGCGUGCCUAAUACAUGCAAGUAGAACGCUGAAGAGAGGAGCUUGCUCUUCUUGGAUGAGUUGCGAACGGGUGAGUAACGCGUAGGUAACCUGCCUUGUAGCGGGGGAUAACUAUUGGAAACGAUAGCUAAUACCGCAUAACAAUGGAUGACACAUGUCAUUUAUUUGAAAGGGGCAAUUGCUCCACUACAAGAUGGACCUGCGUUGUAUUAGCUAGUAGGUGAGGUAAUGGCUCACCUAGGCGACGAUACAUAGCCGACCUGAGAGGGUGAUCGGCCACACUGGGACUGAGACACGGCCCAGACUCCUACGGGAGGCAGCAGUAGGGAAUCUUCGGCAAUGGGGGCAACCCUGACCGAGCAACGCCGCGUGAGUGAAGAAGGUUUUCGGAUCGUAAAGCUCUGUUGUAAGUCAAGAACGGGUGUGAGAGUGGAAAGUUCACACUGUGACGGUAGCUUACCAGAAAGGGACGGCUAACUACGUGCCAGCAGCCGCGGUAAUACGUAGGUCCCGAGCGUUGUCCGGAUUUAUUGGGCGUAAAGCGAGCGCAGGCGGUUUGAUAAGUCUGAAGUUAAAGGCUGUGGCUCAACCAUAGUUCGCUUUGGAAACUGUCAAACUUGAGUGCAGAAGGGGAGAGUGGAAUUCCAUGUGUAGCGGUGAAAUGCGUAGAUAUAUGGAGGAACACCGGUGGCGAAAGCGGCUCUCUGGUCUGUAACUGACGCUGAGGCUCGAAAGCGUGGGGAGCGAACAGGAUUAGAUACCCUGGUAGUCCACGCCGUAAACGAUGAGUGCUAGGUGUUGGAUCCUUUCCGGGAUUCAGUGCCGCAGCUAACGCAUUAAGCACUCCGCCUGGGGAGUACGACCGCAAGGUUGAAACUCAAAGGAAUUGACGGGGGCCCGCACAAGCGGUGGAGCAUGUGGUUUAAUUCGAAGCAACGCGAAGAACCUUACCAGGUCUUGACAUCCCGAUGCUAUUUCUAGAGAUAGAAAGUUACUUCGGUACAUCGGUGACAGGUGGUGCAUGGUUGUCGUCAGCUCGUGUCGUGAGAUGUUGGGUUAAGUCCCGCAACGAGCGCAACCCCUAUUGUUAGUUGCCAUCAUUCAGUUGGGCACUCUAGCGAGACUGCCGGUAAUAAACCGGAGGAAGGUGGGGAUGACGUCAAAUCAUCAUGCCCCUUAUGACCUGGGCUACACACGUGCUACAAUGGUUGGUACAACGAGUUGCGAGUCGGUGACGGCGAGCUAAUCUCUUAAAGCCAAUCUCAGUUCGGAUUGUAGGCUGCAACUCGCCUACAUGAAGUCGGAAUCGCUAGUAAUCGCGGAUCAGCACGCCGCGGUGAAUACGUUCCCGGGCCUUGUACACACCGCCCGUCACACCACGAGAGUUUGUAACACCCGAAGUCGGUGAGGUAACCUUUUGGAGCCAGCCGCCUAAGGUGGGACAGAUGAUUGGGGUG
rnacentral:rRNA from 1 species